AUGAUUUGUGCUAUUUUCUAUCUGAACUUUGAUGAAUAUCUGUCGGUUUGCAUGAAUUUCGUCCGGUUAGUUAAAAUGCGGUUUAAAAUGUAUGCGGCUAGCGUUAGAUGGCUGCCACCCGCAUCCGUGUCCAUGGACUGGUCCCCCUGUCCGCGAACGAAUAUGGGAGGUUUUUUACGGGUUGCCGUUGGAGAUGCCCUUAGAGCAUCUACAACCAGGCGCCCCAAACCAUUCUCAAAUGCCCGGGCGGCCCGCCCGGUCACUGACCGGUCACUAAAAUCUGACCAAGACAGGCGCCUCAAAUGGGCCUCAAACGCCCGGCCUGACCGGCAUGUUGGGGAACAUAAUAAUAAUUCAAAAAAAUUCCUACGUGUCACCAAGAUCAAUCUAGGAGAUGCUAGCAACGAGAGAGAGGGAGUGCAUCUUCAUAUCCUUAAAGAUCGCUAA
rnacentral:rRNA from 1 species